rnacentral:pre_miRNA from 1 species
UGGACAGAUUAUUGUAUUCGACUGUAUUCACGGUAUGAAACAAGGGAUUACACUGAAAGUGAAUCAAUUAACAUAAUAGACUCCU